CAGUCCACGCCGUAAACGAUGGAUACUAGCUGUUCGAUCUUCGGAUUGAGUGGCUAAGCGAAAGUGAUAAGUAUCCCACCUGGGGAGUACGUUCGCAAGAAUGAAACUCAAAGGAAGUUGACGGGGGCCCGCACAAGCGGUGGAGCAUGUGGUUUAAUUCGAUGAUACGCGAGGAACCUUACCAGGGCUUAAAUGUAGUCUGACAGCUUUAGAGAUAAAGUUUUCUUCGGACAGAUUACAAGGUGCUGCAUGGUUGUCGUCAGCUCGUGCCGUGAGGUGUCAGGUUAAGUCCUAUAACGAGCGCAACCCCUGUUGUUAGUUGCCAGCGAGUAAUGUCGGGAACUCUAACAAGACUGCCGGUACAAACCGGAGGAAGGUAAGGAUGACGUCAAGUCAGCAUGCCCCUUACGCUCUGGGCUACACACGUGCUACAAUGGUCGUGACAAAGAGUUGCUAGUCUGCGAAGGCAAAGCCAAAUCUCAUAAAACGCGGCCUUAGUUCGGAUUGC
rnacentral:rRNA from 1 species